GGACUACCGGGGUUUCUAAUCCUGUUUGCUCCCCUAGCUUUCGCUCCUCAGCGUCAGUACCGGCCCAGAGUGCCGCCUUCGCCACCGGUGUUCUUCCUGAUAUCUGCGCAUUUCACCGCUACACCAGGAGUUCCACACUCCUCUACCGGACUCAAGUCAUCGCAGUAUCGACGGGCCUCUUGGGGUUGAGUCCCAAGCUUUCACCGCCGACUUACGAAACCGCCUACGAGCUCUUUACGCCCAAUGAUUCCGGACAACGCUCGCCCCCUACGUAUUACCGCGGCUGCUGGCAC
rnacentral:rRNA from 1 species